CUCUGCUUUCUGCUGGAGUCUGCCUCCUUGGAUUAGGGAGUUUCCUGAGGAAUGUAGAGCACAAAGCUGCUGGGAACUCCAGGGUCUCUUGGUGUGACCAGGCAGCAAACCAGGAAUGGUCUGAGAGAGCCAGCGAGAUGGAGAGGAGAUGGAGAGACAACGUGUGACUUGUGAGUGGGAGCAUGUGGAGAGCUGAAGCAGAGAGAGGGAGAAAACUGUGCUUUCAGCAUCCCAUGGAGGAGGGGUUUUCCUAGCCCUGUAUGCAGACACACAAGACUGAGUGAGCGGCUGUGUCGUGUUCAGCUGCCUGAUAGGAUGUGUCUUAUAAAAUCCUUGAUAGUCUUCUGCUAUGACAGGCUCCUUCUUCAAAAUUUGUCUCAAGGGUAAUACUUCUUGCUACAAUAAAAUGCAGUGUCUCUUCAUCCCAAUGAAAAGGAUAAAUUUCUUCUUCUAUUUCUGUAUUUUAUACAUAUAAUUAACUUCAAAAAGUAUAUCCUCUUUUAAAAAGGUAUUUUAAAAUCACACUUGGUGAAAAAUUCAUCAGAAUUUUCUAUGCCUUUUAGUGUAUCAGCUCUGUUUCUUAAAUGCACAUCCAGCAGGCACUUCCAUGCUCCUUGUCCAAGUAAACCAGCCUUUGGAGAUCAGUUUGUGAUUCACAGUUCACCAGUUCCCUGCCACAGCCAAGAUAAUCCAUCCCUAUGGUGGCAGCAGUGGAGAACACAGCUGUGGCAAGAUUUUAGGUGUGGGUUGAACUUCAGGUAUCUUCCUGAGCAAUACUGAAUCCAGCUCCUGGUUAGGUAUGUGGCUGAGCCAACACUUCAGCACAUGAGUUCAAGUGCUUUCCUGAACUGUAGUCUCCAGCAGGCUCAACGUGAAGCUAAGAGAGAUCCUUCUAGACCCUUUAAUAUAUAUACCUGUUUUUGGAAAUCUCUGUGUAUUCAUAGCUAGCAUAUGUCAUUUUAUUUACAUUAUUAUGGGUUGUGUUUCCAAAAUGGAGUUUGGAGAUGCACAUGUCUCCUGAUGGGAGCACACCUGAACAACAAAACUCCAGCUGUGGCUGAUUCAUCACUGUAGAUCUAAAUACCAAGUCAUUCCUGGGAUUUUCAGUUUGACUUUUUCUGGGAAAGAAAAAGAUUAUUUUUUAAAAUUGCAAUAAUUAGGAUAAUUAAAUGAAACAGAAAGCAAUUACUAUGGGCUUAUUAUACCAUCUAAAGAAGAAAUGCAGUACUUUUAUAUGCUUCAGGAAUGCAAUUAAAGUAGGAAAUUUUCUAAGCCCUUGCUUUCCUUAGUUUUAAUUAUUGCUGAAACCUGAUUAUGGAAGCACAAAUAGGCAUAGAAGAACAAAGGAUGUUAAAGGAAGAAGCAAACGGAGUGGUGUGUGAGUUGUAAAUGCACUUGCCUUUCACUUUGCUGACAAGCAUUGGAGCUAAAUUUUAGCAAGAACCUGGUCAUUUUCUGUACAAUUUGUAUCAAUUUGCAGCUGCUGCUCCCCUUUGGGUAACAUAGCAGCUUUACACAGGUGAAUAGUUUUAAUGUCUUCUUGGAAUGACUAUCUCUCACUUCACUGAACCAAGGGAUAUAAUUACACACUUCAUAAGUAGCUACUAGCAAAUGAAAAUUGAAGUAAACAUUUGAAUAUUUUAAGUGAUGUUGUCGAGAAUUUGGCCAAUUCAGGUCCAAUUGCUACACUUAGUACCUAGGAGACUGUAACUUCAUCCAAGGUAAAUAAGAAAGCUGACAGGGGUGCUGACUGUUAUUUUUGGUUUGCCCUUUGGUUGCAGUUCCAGAGAGAAAAUUUCUAGGAGAAAAUAUUUCCAAAGUAGGUCAUUCCUCCAGCUAUAGCUACACUACCAGCAUUCAUUACACUGUAACAUGCCAAGCACCACUCAAAAUUACCAUUAUAUAUUAUGACUGCAGUUUAAAUUCCCAGGAUGCAUCCACUGAAGAAUAUUUCCCAAUAUAUUUUUUUAAAAAUGAAAUUUAAAACACCACUAAAGCCAAGAGUUUAUCUUUCUUGGGUUUUGCUAUCAUGAAUGUUGUUCAUGCUCUGUAGUGCGUCUGUGUGUAGAAACUCCUAAUCAAAUCCUAUUGUGUACCAAAACGAUGUCAACUGCAUCUGAAAUUUGCACACCUCGAGGGCUUUAUGUUUCUUUGUCUUAAAUGUCUAAUUACUUUAAUAAGGAAAGUGUUCAAGGAGUGCUAGUGCAAUAAAGCAAUUUUCUAUCUCUGUAA